CCGAUCCCCUCCCGUGCACGCCGCGAUGCCCGUCGCCACGUCCCGGACGGUGCACAACGUGAUCUCUCCUGCCGUUGUGCCCAGAGAGUGUCGCGUCAUUUAGUCGGGUCUUCCAUCGAUGACCGCGCGAGCUUAGGAGAAAAAUGGAACCCCCGAGAGGUGUGGAUGCUGACCCAACCCUGUAACCCUCUGAAAAACCCCUAAUCACCAGAAUUGUCGCUGAAGUUAAGCUAUGCGGCUCCCCUCUCGACCCUCUAUAAAUAGAGAACCCCCUUGUUUCCGAGCACCUCAGCCACUCUAGCGCCUCCCCUCAUCCUCCAGGAGACUCGCCAAAGCCUUCAGAGGGGCUCAGAAGGAUAUUCUACCCUGCCUUCGGCCGCCUCGAUUCAUUUCGGGCGCGGCCAAAAUUGGCCCUGGCCUCUCCGUCGAGAUCCCACUGCAACCGAAACGACGCCCGCCGGAGUUUGAAGCUGCCCUGAUUGUACUGCUCGCCGGCGUGUAACUCCACCUCCAUCAGUUGUAGAAUCUCCUGAUUCCGACGAGGGAGACGUCGACGUCAACUUCACCGAACUCGAUCCCGACUACGUGGAACCAUGCAAGCAUGUUUGAACUUUUGAUGUGUGUUUGCUAAUAAAAUUUUUAAUUAUCAUAUCCUGCAUGAACUAACCCAUUGCUAUCACGCGGGACGUGAUAGGUUGUGGCCUCGUCAUGCCGGAUGCAUGAUCGUGGUGAAAAUAAUUGGAUAACUCUAGUGCCGACCUAGAUCGAGUCUUGUCAGUAUGUCACCUUAUUUUUCAUGCUUCCACAGUUUUUCCGAAAGGGAAUGCGAUAUAGUCGGUCGUGAACCUAUUAUCAGUCACACACCAAGUAGAGGGGACGGGAUGAAGGUAUCCAUGGCCCUGGACUAAAUCUAGUCAUCC